rnacentral:rRNA from 1 species
AUGGAUCUGCCUGCCCCACCAACCAGUGAUCCCAGAACUUUAUCCUCCAUUAUCCUAAGCCGCCGCCGUGCCGACGCGCGGGCGAGAAUAAACAAGUGCUCCGCGACCGCGAGCCAGCGACUCCUCUCGCCUCCACCACCGCUCCCUCGCCACCACUCGCUGCUCCGCCUGCGACCCGGCCGUGAGCGACCCGCCGUCGCGAGAUCCAGCGCCGUCUCCGCGCCGCCGCUGGUGCCGCCCAUGACGACGCCGGCGCCCAACCCGACCAUCCGGAGGCUCGACGUCGCCUCGCCGGUGCCCGCCGACAUCGACAUCGCCAACGCCGUCGAGCCGCUCCACAUCGCCGACAUCGCCGCCGAGCUCGGCGUGCCCCCGGAGCACUACGAUCUCUACGGCAAGUACAAGGCCAAGGUGCUCCUGUCCGUUCUUGACAAGCUGCAGGGGCAGCAGGACGGGUACUACGUGGUGGUCGGCGGCAUCACGCCGACGCCGCUCGGGGAGGGCAAGUCAACGACUACCGUCGGCCUGUGCCAGGCACUGGGGGCGUUCCUUGAUAAGAAGGUUGUCACUUGCGUCCGUCAACCAUCACAAGGGCCCACCUUUGGAAUCAAGGGGGGUGCUGCUGGAGGUGGCUACAGUCAAGUUAUACCCAUGGAUGAGUUCAAUCUCCAUAUGACUGGAGAUAUCCAUGCAAUUACAGCUGCAAACAAUCUUCUUGCUGCUGCCAUUGACACAAGGAUUUUCCAUGAAGCUUCUCAAUCAGACAAAGCUCUGUUCAAUAGAUUGUGUCCAGCAAACAAAGAAGGGAAGAGGCGCUUCGCUGAUGUAAUGCUCCGACGCCUGAUAAAGCUUGGCAUCUCAAAGACAGACCCUGAUGAGCUAACACCAGAAGAAGUUAGGCGUUUUGCAAGGCUUGAUAUUGACCCUGCAUCAAUUACUUGGAGACGGGUCAUGGAUGUUAAUGAUCGUUUCCUGAGGAAAAUCACCGUUGGACAAGGCCCUGAUGAAAAAGGUAUGGUGAGAGAAACAGGCUUUGACAUAUCUGUGGCAAGUGAGAUAAUGGCUGUAUUGGCUCUUACAACUUCCCUUGCUGACAUGAGGGAAAGACUUGGAAGAAUGGUGAUAGGCAACAGCAAGGCGGGUGAGCCGGUUACAGCUGAUGAUCUUGGUCUUGGAGGUGCCUUGACUGUCCUAAUGAAAGAUGCUAUUCAUCCCACCCUCAUGCAAACUCUUGAAGGCACUCCUGUUUUAGUGCAUGCUGGUCCUUUUGCUAACAUUGCACAUGGGAACUCUUCCAUAGUUGCUGAUAAGAUUGCUUUGAAGUUGGUUGGGAAGGGUGGCUUUGUUGUUACAGAAGCUGGUUUUGGUGCUGAUAUUGGGACUGAGAAAUUCAUGGACAUAAAGUGUAGGUAUAGUGGAUUGACACCACAGUGUGCUAUUAUUGUGGCCACAAUUAGGGCUCUUAAAAUGCAUGGAGGAGGCCCAGAUGUUGUGGCUGGGAAGCCUUUAGAUCACGCAUAUGUCAGUGAAAAUGUCACUCUUGUUGAAGCUGGAUGUGUUAAUCUUGCUAAGCACAUCUCAAACACAAAGGGUUAUGGAGUGAAUGUUGUAGUAGCAAUCAACAAAUUUGCAACAGACACAGACGCUGAAAUGGAAGUUGUGAAAAAGGCGGCUAUGGCAGCUGGGGCUUUCGAUGCUGUCGUCUGCUCCCACCAUGCACACGGUGGUAAAGGAGCGGUUGAUCUUGGAGUCGCUGUUCAAAGAGCAUGUGAAAGCCAGGCAGAGCCCCUGAAGUUUUUAUAUCCUUUAGAUUCUAGCAUAAAGGAGAAGAUUGAGUCAAUAGCUAAGUUCUAUGGUGCUAGUGGUGUUGAAUACUCUGAACAGAUCGAGAUGUACACCAAGCAAGGCUUCUCCAACCUCCCGAUAUGCAUGGCGAAGACUCAGUACUCCUUUUCUCAUGUUCCAUCCAUGAAGGGCGCACCAUCCGACUUUGUGCUGCCGAUAAGAGACGUGCGGGCCAGCAUCGGAGCCGGUUUCAUCUACCCGCUCGUCGGCACCAUGAGCACAAUGCCUGGUCUUCCUACGAGGCCCUGCUUCUACGAAAUUGACAUCGACACGGCGACCGGGAAAGUCAUGGGUCUGUCAUGA